AUGCUACCUCGGACUUUGCGAGGGACGAGCCCAGUGCCCCGGAGAGAGGACCCUCUCCCGUCCCCGCCGAGGCAGGAGGGGCUGGCCAGCCUCCCGCACUGCUCGUCGCCCACUGAAGACGGCUGUGGAAUCUGGGCCAGACACAGGGCCUGCGUGGGUCCUGCCCCGGAGGCUGCUCUCCGCUCUGAGUCCACGUGGGAUUCCACAGCAAGAAAGUCGAGGCAUCUGCUCAGCUACACCCACACCCCGCAGAAAAGCCUCAGCCUCUGUCGUGGACCCACGGGACGAAAAGCCCUUCGAAGGCAUGGACCACACUCAUCCUCUUCCCUCAGGAGACAUCUGACAGAGCAACCCUCCACUCUCCUCCAGGAAAGCCGGUCCCCCAGGGGAGCGCUCCCUCACAUUGGUCAGAACUGCAAACUCACCGGGCUUUCUCUUCUUGCCGUGGCUGCUAGGAAGCUCGGGCUCACGUUAACUGACGCGCAACACAUUCUCGGGUUCCCGAGGUGCCAACAUCAGGACCUGGGAGGACCCUGGCUCGUCCAGGGACCACCUGCCCUUUCUCUGCACUCACCCCCCUCAGGACCAUCCGUAAGAUUUGUGGAGGCUGACGGCCCUGAAAAUGAACCUUGCUUCCUGGGCCCUCUGCUGAGCUCUCCCCGGCCAGACGCCCUCCCCCGCCCCCACCCAGACCCUCUGGUGUGCACCACCCCCUCCCCACCCCGUUUCUUCUGGAAUCUUCAGGGACCGUGGAGGCGCUCUCCAGCCUCCCAGGGCUCCUGGGCUCCUGCCCCCCACAGCCCCACCGAGCACCCACGGAGAAGCCUGGGUCUCGCUCGACGUUACCCACAGGCACGUGCUCCGAACCCGGCUACGGCACACAUGGGUUUGUUGAGUGAAUGCAGGACCACAAGCGCUCCUGAGCACCUGCUACGUGCCCAGUCGUAG
ensembl:lncRNA